rnacentral:lncRNA from 1 species
AACGAGUAGAAUUUAUCUCAACUAUAAAUCAUUCUAAAUUUACGGUCUGAUAUUUCAAAGUUUGAUUUUACUAUUUAGCCUUUCAAUUUGUUAAAUUUGAGUCAGUCAAUGAUAGUUUGACUUUAAAUAAUACCAAAAACCACCGGAUAUUAUUGAAAAGAAAAUUGCUACUUAUACACUUUAUUAUAAGAUAUAAAUCUUGUACCCCAUUAUCCUGAAAUUUAGAAAACUCCUUAAUGUAAAAAGAAAGGUUGAUAAGAUUGGCGAGUAAAUUCUAGCCUUUAAAAAGAGGCUACAUGUAUACUUUAUUUUAAGGUAUAAAUGUUACACCCCAUAAUUUUAUUAUUUAGAUAAUUUUUUGAAGUUUUAGUGUAAAUAAAAAAAAAGAUUGAUAAGACAGGCGAGUAGAUUGUACCGACCCAACCAGCUAGCAAUAAUAACUCAUUGGGCCCAAACUAUCGGGUCCAAAAUACUUAAGACACACACACAGCCCAAGAUUACCCGGCGAUGUGAGACUUGCCUCGCUAGGUUUGUCAUUCCGAUUCUGACUUAGCCUGUCAUUUACCAACUCUGGUUUUGUCCGUUAUUCUAAUUCUGACUCAGCCAAGACUUAUCUCACACUUUCGGCUAGUGAACCGGCUCUGAUGCCAAAUGUAACAACCCUGCCCGCUAACAAUAAUAACUCGUUUGGCUCAAACUACCGGUCCAAAAUGCUUAGGCCUAGUUAUUACUACUAGGGUGGAGCCUUCUUAUAUACAUAAUGACGAUCCAUUUCUAUCCAAUAUGGGACUAUUGGGCAUCACAUAAAUUC